AAGCCUGACGCUCACUCAGCUCCCGGCAGCUCUCAGAGGGUGGGGGUCCCACAUCACCUGCAGGACAGGCCCUAGCUACCGAGUCACAGAAACCCAGGGCCGAAGCAAAGUCCCAAUCCCAGAGAGGCUGGGCACACCUACAACUGAAAGGAGGCUUAGAAAUCCUUCAGAGACGACCCUAUUGGCUCUCCUCCAACUGGACAGGAUGAGCCAGUAACACAGAAGGAAGAGGGCUUCCUCCGAAAGGUAUAGAGGCCAGAAGAGGUCAUUAUCUCCAAAUAGCAAGCAAGACCUCUCCGAGGCUGACUUUGUGCAGUCUGUAGGUGUAUUCAUUCCGUGGCUCAAAUCUUUAAAUCCAACUUUAAAGACAGGUUUCUAAGACAGCCACCGAUGGGUCCUACCUCCUCAUAUUCACAUCCUAUGUAAUCUCCUCCCCAGUGUGGGCUGGACCUGGUGACUAGCUUCCAGUGAAUAGAAUAUAGCAAAAGUGAUUGAUGUCACCUCCAAGAUUCAGCUAUAGAAGACUAUGACUAUGACUUCCCUCUUGGCUAGCAUUCUCGCUAACUCUUCCUGCUUGCUUGUACUGAGCUGCCCUAUGAAGAGGCCCAUGUAGGGGUGGCCUGGGUGGGGGUGAUCUGUGGCCAACAGCCAGCAAGGAACUAAAUCCUGUUAACAACCACAUGAGCUUGGAAGGAGAUCCUUCCCCAGUAAAGCCAGGAGAUGAAUAGA